rnacentral:rRNA from 1 species
UGGGGAAUUUUGGACAAUGGACGCAAGUCUGAUCCAGCCAUGCCGCGUGCGGGAAGAAGGCCUUCGGGUUGUAAACCGCUUUUGUCAGGGAAGAAACGAGUUUCUCUAAUACAGAGACUUAAUGACGGUACCUGAAGAAUAAGCACCGGCUAACUACGUGCCAGCAGCCGCGGUAAUACGUAGGGUGCAAGCGUUAAUCGGAAUUACUGGGCGUAAAGCGUGCGCAGGCGGUUGUGCAAGACAGAGGUGAAAUCCCCGGGCUCAACCUGGGAACUGCAUCCAAAACUGGCAAGCUAGAGUAUGGUAGAGGGUGGUGGAAUUUCCUGUGUAGCGGUGAAAUGCGUAGAUAUGCGGAGGAACACCGAUGGCGAAGGCAAUCCCCUGGACCUGUACUGACGCUCAUGCACGAAAGCGUGGGGAGCAAACA